GAUGAACGCUGGCGGCGUGCCUAAUACAUGCAAGUCGAGCGAACAGACGAGGAGCUUGCUCCUCUGACGUUAGCGGCGGACGGGUGAGUAACACGUGGAUAACCUACCUAUAAGACUGGGAUAACUUCGGGAAACCGGAGCUAAUACCGGAUAAUAUAUUGAACCGCAUGGUUCAAUAGUGAAAGACGGUUUUGCUGUCACUUAUAGAUGGAUCCGCGCCGCAUUAGCUAGUUGGUAAGGGAACGGCUUACCCAGGCAACGAUGCGUAGCCGACCUGAGAGGGGAAUCGGCAACCCUGGAACUAAGACAGGGUCCAGACCCCUAGGGGAGGCAGCAGUAGGGAAUCUUCCGCAAUGGGCGAAAGCCUGACGGAGCAACGCCGGGUGAGUGAUGAAGGUCUUCGGAUCGUAAAACUCUGUUAUUAGGGAAAAACAAAUGUGUAAGUAACUAUGCACGUCUGGACGGUACCUAAGCAGAAAGCCACGCCUACUUACGU
rnacentral:rRNA from 1 species